rnacentral:rRNA from 1 species
AUUGAACGCUGGCGGCAGGCCUAACACAUGCAAGUCGAGCGAGCGGCGGACGGGUGAGUAAUGUCUGGGAAACUGCCUGAUGGAGGGGGAUAACUACUGGAAACGGUAGCUAAUACCGCAUACCAUCAGAUGUGCCCAGAUGGGCUUAGCUAGUAGGUGGGGUAACGGCUCACCUAGGCGACGAUCCCUAGCUGGUCUGAGAGGAUGACCAGCCACACUGGGACGGAGCCACGGUCCAGACUGCUACGGGAGGCAGCAGUGGAGAAUAUUGAACAAUGGUCGCAAGCCUGAUGGAGCCAUGCCGCAUGGGUGAAGAGGGCCUUCGGGUUGUAAAGCACUUUCAGCGGCGAGGCGUUACCCGCAGAAGAAGCACCGGCUAACGCCGUGCCAGCAGCCGCGGUAAUAC